rnacentral:lncRNA from 1 species
GAACAGAUUUUAAACAACCAGUGCAUCUUUUCAUGCCUGAUAGGAAUCCUGGGAAGUCCUCUGAGGGAGACAGAGAAACCCUACACUGAUAAUGCACCGGCCAAGCACAUUUCUUUUGUGUAGGUCCGUCACAUCACCCAGUAAGAGACAAAGUGGAAGAGGCUUCCGGAAUUCUCCAGGAGAUGAACAGCCUACUGGCCACCUUUCGUGGGCUUGUGGGCUUGAGGCCCAGGUUGGGGCUAGAGGCCUCCGCUGUCUGCAAUCCUGUGUCCUUCCCCCUUUCCACCAGUGUUUCCAUGACACAGGAGUCCCAAAGAGUCCCACUCAGACACAGGAAGGCCGUGGCACGGACGACUGCAGCCCGCUCAGUUCACGAUCCACUCAUUCGUUCGACACGGGUUCACCUCACGGAGCACUUCCUCCGUCCAGGAGUCUCGCUGAGAGCCCAACCGAACAGCCCUGGCCACAGGACAAGAGCGGACAGGGGGCACCUGGGCGCCUCCGCCUGGAGGGGCAGCAGAACGUCGCAUGUGACAAAGCCGGCAGGGCCCUCCGCGUAGCACCUGGCGCACCGCAGCCCACAACCAAUGGUAGCUAUUUGUGUAAUAGCGUUAGGCGCGUUUUUUACCACCCUCCGAUUCUCAGACAUUUGGAGUGA